CCUACGGGGGGCUGCAGUCGAGAAUCUUCGGCAAUGGGCGCAAGCCUGACCGAGCGACGCCGCGUGCGGGAUGAAGGCCUUCGGGUUGUAAACCGCUGUCGUAGGGGAACAAAUGUAAGGGGGUUCUCCCCUUUACUUGAGUGAUCCUAGGAGGAAGGACGGGCUAAGUUCGUGCCAGCAGCCGCGGUAAGACGAACCGUCCGAACGUUAUUCGGUAUCACUGGGCUUAAAGAGUUCGUAGGCGGCCCGACAGGUGAGGUGUGAAAUCCCUCGGCUCAACCGAGGAACUGCGCUUCAAACCGUCAGGCUUGAGGGAGACAGAGGUAGGCGGAACAGAUGGUGGAGCGGUGAAAUGCGUUGAUAUCAUCUGGAACACCGGUGGCGAAAGCGGCCUACUGGGUCUUUUCUGACGCUGAGGAGCGAAAGCUAGGGUAGCGAACGGGCUUAGAUACCCUUGUAGUC
rnacentral:rRNA from 1 species